rnacentral:tRNA from 1 species
GCUAGUGUAAUUUAUUAAAAAUACGGCACUGAAAAUGCCGCCACAGAUACUAAAACAUCUCACAAGCA